rnacentral:rRNA from 1 species
AUAUCAAUAAGCGGAGGAAAAGAAACUAACAAGGAUUCCCCUAGUAACGGCGAGUGAAGCGGGAAGAGCUCAAAUUUGUAAUCUGGCUGCUUUGCAGUCCGAGUUGUAAGCUAGAGAAGUGUUAUCUGUGCUGGACCACAUAUGAGUCUGUUGGAAUAUAGUGUCAAAGAGGGUGAGAACCCCGUUCGUGAUGUGGACUACCAGUGCUCUGUGUUACACUCUCAAAGAGUCGAGUUGUUUGGGAAUGCAGCUCAAAUUGGGUGGUAAAUUCCAUCUAAAGCUAAAUAUUGGCGGGAGACCGAUAGCGAACAAGUACCGUGAGGGAAAGAUGAAAAGCACUUUGGAAAGAGAGUCAAAUAGUAC